CUAUUCCUUGUUUGAAGGGCGUUGCUGGGAGUGACUGACGUAAUCAGGCAUGUCUCACCAGUACUCCCCCCUGAAGAGAGUAUGGCUGAACACCCGUGUACCGCCAGUAUCCCCCUCCCAAGCAAGGUGAUCCGCAUCAAGGCCAAAGCGACAAGAUGGGAUCGAAUCAAUGUGGCCACAGCGACACAAUGACUCCGUUACCCAUGCACUAUUGAUGGGUUGAUUCACUAUCAGAAUCUAGUUCCAGGCCAAUAGAACUACGUGUUUAUAGUCCAACUCUGAUCAGGAGCGACUCUUUCUGUGUUAUCAUCAAGGCCGAAGCGACAAGAUGAAGGGAGAUUAUUAAGGUCCAAAGCGACAAAAUAAUUCCCAUCCAUUAAGGCCAAAGCGACAAAAUGGAGCGACUCACUAUCAGAGUCUGAUUCUGGCCAAAGCGACAGAAUGCGUGGAUCCUGGCCAAAGCGACAGGAUCUAGUUCACUAUCAGAACCGAUGUUUAUAGUCCACCC
rnacentral:lncRNA from 1 species